rnacentral:misc_RNA from 1 species
GGAAGUUGUAGGGGCUCUUUUUAGCACCGCAGUUCGCAGAAAGCUUUGGAAGCAAAACCAGUGACGGUGAAGUUCUGGUGUUGAAAGAAAAAUUGGAAAAUGGCUUCUCGUCGCUUCACUGUCCUUACACUACUUGCUUUGGUGAUAUUCUUCCUUUCGCAGGCUCGUGCUGUAAACGAGCUCGAUUAUCAGAGGAUCAAAGUCAAACCCUCGGCAUCGCCAUUUGAAUCAGCUCUUGUACUGCUACAGCAACAAAUCAAGCAAGUUCUCUUUUCUGCCCCUUUCUUUUUCGCUUUCUAUAUUAGCACACGCUCUGUUUGGUUGCCGAGAAAUUCUGGAAGAAUGAAAUCUAAAUUGAAAUCUUUGGUGCCAUACAUGCACAUAUAUGCGUUUAUAUUUGAAAAAUUCAAUGCCUUUUCUUGCCUCUUCAAUCUGCAGCUAUACUUUCCUCAAGAUUGAUCGUCUCCGCCGUGCAAUGACCCACCCCUCAUUCUCCGAAGAGAACAACAGGGCAUUGAGCAUUCUGGGUGUCAACGUCAUCGACACGUUUGUCUCUAUGCUUGCCCUUGGCAACGACAUUGAUAUCUCCUCCAAGGAACUCAACCGCCUUAUAUCUGAGAUAUCCAAAGUGGAAACGUCCUGUGCGGCUGAUGGGAUGCGGCUGGGAUUGCACAAGAUUGUUAGAAUUUCUGCCAAGACUAAUUCUACGACUCCCUCAGUGGUUUGUGGAGCUUUCAGGGCAACAUUUGGUGCUAUUGCUAUUGAUUCUGGCAAGUCUGAUGUUGCUGGAAGUGCUUUCUGGUAUGUUCAUACUGGUAAGGCUGAAAAAGCUCUUGCCUUGUAAGUUGAGCUUCCCGGUAUCUACUGCUUAUAGGGAAUGCGUGCUAAUGUGCUACUUAGGGCUUUCUAGAUUGGGCUGAAUAAUAAUGUGGUUUGUGAUCAGAACUUUGUUGUAUUGACUCUGUACAGUGCAGUUGUGUGUAAUGAAGUUUUAGGAAUAUCCUUCUUCUGCAAUCGCACAAUGAGUUUGGCUUGAAUGUCUUGAUAUUUAAGUGUCAUAACAAGGUAAAACUAACCUUUUAUUUGAAUGUUGUCCUUUGGAGUUGAUGGGAACGUGGUUUCCAAAGGAUUAUUUGAAUGUCGAUUUAAUUCAACAUUAGAAACAAGGAUAGGAGGAAUAUCCUUCUUCUGCAACAGCACAGUGAGUUUUUGAAACGUUAACAUGUAUCUAGUUUCUGAGGAUGAAGAUAGGAGUGAGUGUUGCUGUGCUUAUGUUGUUAAUCCAUGAUACGGACAGUGGGUAAUGCUGACCUCCAAGUAUGGUUCCUCUAUUCUGUUGCACAGGAUGAUCGGAGAAAGCAAGAAAUGCAUUCUUACAAGAAAGUGUGUUUUAGUUA